GUAGAUGUUUUUCUGGAACUCUCUUGCUUUUUCAAUGAUCCAACAGAUGUUGGCAAUUUGAUCUCUGGUUCCUCUGCCUUUUCUAAACCCAGCUCGAGCAUCUGGACGUUCUCGGUUCACGCACUGUUGACGCCUGGCUUGGAGAAUU